rnacentral:rRNA from 1 species
UAGGGAAUCUUGCGCAAUGGGCGAAAGCCUGACGCAGCAAUACCGCGUGAGUGAGGAAGGUCUUAGGAUUGUAAAGCUCUGUCCUUAGGGAAAAACAGCAUGAGGGUUAAUACCCCUGAUGUUUGAUGGUACCUGGGAAGAAAGCACCGGCUAACUUCGUGCCAGCAGCCGCGGUAAUACGAAGGGUGCAAGCGUUGUUCGGAUUUAUUGGGCGUAAAGAGCACGUAGGCGGAUAAUUAAGUCAGAUGUGAAAUCUCACAGCUUAACUGUGAAACAGCGUCUGAAACUGGUAAUCUAGAAUACCAAAGGGGAAAGGGGAAUUUCUCAUGUAGGGGUAAAAUCCGUAGAUAUGAGAAGGAACAUCAGAGGCGAAGGCGCCUUUCUGGUUGGUAAUUGACGCUAAGGUGCGAAAGCGUGGGGAGCAAACAGG